rnacentral:rRNA from 1 species
UACAGAGGUCUCAAGCGUUGUUCGGAUUUAUUGGGCGUAAAGAGCUCGUAGGCGGCUUGUCACGUCGGGUGUGAAAGCCCGGGGCUUAACCCCGGGUCUGCAUUCGAUACGGGCUAGCUAGAGUGUGGUAGGGGAGAUCGGAAUUCCUGGUGUAGCGGUGAAAUGCGCAGAUAUCAGGAGGAACACCAAUAGCGAAGGCAGCUCGCUGGGACGGUACUGACGCUGAGGCGCGAAAGCGUGGGGAGCGAACAGG